GUGAGCUGGUUAACUGUGGUAAGGACUAAGCAGUUCUUGCUGUAAACCUGUGUGGGUCACAGCAGUGACUCCAGGAGAGACUGUUCCAGCUAUGCAGGCAGUACUGUGCAUUCUGCCUUGCUGUUUCUGGGGAGCUGAGGAGCUCUCAUCUGCAGGAGAGCAGGGGCCCUUAAAACUUUGGUGCUGUGGAGAGUUGGGGAUGUUGGUGUUGGAGGAGUCUGCUGGCAUGUCUGUAUAUCUCUUUCCAGGAUUGAAGAGGCCAAAGGUCACUCCACAGAAUUUCUUCAUCCCACAGAAUCCAUUUCUUCACGAGGAAUCAAAUCCAUAGAGAUCUUUGUUCAGGAAUAGAACGGAAAGCAACUGCCAAGACCACAAGCAUGAUCUCUUUGGAAAGUGAGUAGAAGAACAGAGACUGAAGAAAAGUUUCACCAUUUGGUGUCUACAUAGUAGUUCAUGCUCAAUUAAUUUUCUGUUGGCAAAUAGGCAGGCGUAGCAUCUUUACAUAACGUUAUUGACAUUAUUGCCAGCUAAAUUCUAAGGGCAUCUGUAAAGAAAAAUGCUUGUAACUCUUUAAAAUUUGAAUGGUAUGUCCAGAUUGGCUUGCUGAGACAGAAUUUCAAAAAAAGUAUGCAAAUUAAAAGUCAAAUUGCCUGCCAACUGCUGGCACCCUGUUACCUGUGCUGAUACUGCAGGCUCUUUAAGGAUCCUGGCUGCACAAUAGCUGCAGGGAGGUCUGAAGGUGACGUUCUGGGCUAUGACUCUCAGGUAUGCAGUAAGGAAGGCUUUGUGACUGCCAUUUGUAUUCUGGGAGUUGGAGGAAACUUGAGCCUAAUUGCAUGGAAUUGGGAGUUUAUGUAAGUCAUGACUGUUUCAUGGUUCAGAACAAAACCCAGGCAUUUUACUGCUUUGUUUGCUGUGCAAAUGUACCUCCCUACCCUAUGGCUGCACUCCAAAGUGCCAGCACUGGUGAAAUCCUCACUGAUGCAAAGCAGAGAAUUUGUUGCCUUUCGGUAGGAUAGGGGAGAUUUCUCUUCCACAGGCCUUUGAGUAUCUUGUGUAAAUCAAUAAAAUGUCAAGUAUUCUGUUAAAACAUUGAUACAAAAAGGUCUUAUUUUUGCUCAUAUUUCAUUUGAGUGGUUAAGAUUUCCAGAGAACCUACUGGAAUAGCUCCCACUGAAUUCAGUGCGUACAAGAUCGGACUUGCUGGGCUAUUUGUUCCAAGGCAUAGAAUACUUCUGCUUCUUCUGAGGUUUCCUGGUAAGGUGAAUUUUGUUUGACAUAGAAAAAAUGUUUUCCAAUCACAUUUCCAUUUGUAUCUAUUAAUUCGUUACAGCAAACUUCCAAACUAGCCCCUGCUGUUUCCUGACCUUUGACCAAAUGUUCUAAUAGCUUCCUUAUUAACAGUAAGUAGAUGCAGAAUUUCAGAUAGUACUAACUUUGUAACAAGGAUUGUAUUUAAUUUAUUUUUUAUUUUUUCCUUUAUUAUUAUUUUUUUUUCAUCACUGUUCUGAUUCUGCAGGAGUUUGAAAAAAAUAGCACAGAAGAUGACUUGCUGCAUUAAUUAAAAAAAAAAAAGUCAUGACGUCAAUAUGCAACCAAAAAGUUAUUCUUACAGGAGUCUCUAAGUUAUGAAAACAUUUCUAAAAUGUGAAGGUCAAGCCCCCAGGACUGCAGUUUUUGCAGGGGCGAUUGGAUUUGAUCUGUUUUGCUCCAUGUGGUGCUUAGAGCUCAGACCUUCUCAGUAAUGGUUGGACUUUGCAUUCAAGUUCUGAUAAUUUACAUAGGUGCCAGCCUAAAGGUUUAAACAACAUGGGCAUCAAGUUUUCUCAUGCAUCAGUGCAGAAGUAUUGAAUUCAGUAGAGUUUCUCUCAUUUAACUAGAAGGGAAUUUAGUGUUGUUUUUUUUCUAGUUUUAGUGACUUUACUGAGUGGAAAUAACAUCAUGACACUAGAGUUUACCUUUGUCAUUACAAAAUAUGAUUCUUUUUUUCAGUGAUGUUUAAAUAGAUUUAUUUUUUCGCAUUUUACUUAUGCAGACACAGGUCCACUGCCUCACUGGAAUCCAGGAAGGGAAAAGUAGGGUUUUGAAGCACGUAGCUGCUUCUACCCUAAUUCCACGUAGGAGGCCAACUCGAGCUUGAAGUGCAAGGAAAGUCAGAGGGGCUCAGCAGAAACUGUGCCUGUGGUGUGAGUUUUAGCUAGCAGCUCUGAGAAGUGUGUGGGUGCCAGGGUGCCCUCUGCCUUGAUAGGGAGCAGCCUUAUGCAGGGCUUGCUGUGUCAUACGCUCCUACAGCUCCAUGGGCAGGGCAGUGGCAUGUCCUGGAAGAAGAUGAGAGACAAUGUCUUGCUUAGCAUGUGGUAGGAGGGAAUAAAACAGCUGUUUGCUGAUUUUGAAUAGCCUUAUGCUAAGUCAGUGAAAAAAAGAGAGAGUGCAAGAGAGAGGAGAUAGAAAGAAAAAAAAAGUGAAAGAAAGAAAAAGCUUUCUGUCAUGUUGAAAAGGCACUUGGGCAGUGCACUGAUGUUUGUCUUUGCACCUAGCUUUAAGACAGCUCAGACAAAGAAAGAAAAUGCAGCCUGUGCAUGGUUUUAUAGUGGUCAAAGAGAGAUCUGCAUACCACUGCAAAUAAACUUUUGCUUACGAUGAGAACUGAGGGAAGGAAGCAAACAAACAGAGAAAGCAAAUCUCAAGCAGGCAGCCAAAGAAAAGCAAACCACUUCCAUGUAAACACACAUGGAAACUGUGGCUAGUACGUCAUACCAAGCUCAGAGGAAGAGGCAGCAUCUGAGACCUUCAGCAGGUUGAUUCUGUUCACAACAUCUUAUUUCUCUCUUUUUCAGCCACAAUGAGUGUAAUAUUUGGAGGUGGGAGUGCUUGUACCACAGCAGAGUGGAAAUGCUCCAAAGAGGAAUUGAGAAGUAGUGAAGUGGGAAGAUGGAGGGACUUAGCUAGCUCUGGUUAGACUGACCAGAUGUUUGGUUUUUAAGGGGCAGAGGGGAAAGAACCUUCAUGCAUUGUUGUAAGGGAGCAGAAGAGAUGCUGCUGUAUUGAGUAGUGGAGGAGCUUGAGUGGAGAUUCCUGUAUUCUCCUGACAAGAAAUAAUGAAAGGAGGGUAAAAAUGGCUAGUGCUACUGCAUAAUGGGUGAACAUUUUCUGUCUUGCUGGCAAGACAUCUGAAGCUUUUUAUCAGGAUAGGAGUGCUUGCUGUUACAGUGGUCUAGCUAUUUGCAAAGCAACUGUAUUAUCUACUGCCUGAGAAACAUGACAUAAUCAUUCAGCUCCUCUUUUUUUCUGUUUACUCGUCAUAUUUUCUCCUCAUGUCUAUUUCCAGAGUGCUUUCUUACUCUGCCCGUACCUCAGCUGAUGACAUCAAUGGCUCUGCAGACAUAUCCUGUCUCUUCUUUCAUCUCCUUGGUGCUAGCCUGGUUGCUUCUACAAAGUACAAACUUCUUAAGACUUAAACUUCUGCUUUACAGAGAAGGCAGGAAACAAGAGAGUUAUGAUACUGGAAAUGGCCUAUUGUUUCUUCUCUGGCAAACUCCCUCUGGACAGCAGUUCUGGGAAUCAGCUCCUUUUGUGAAGUUGUUGUUGCGAGAUGUAUUGGUGAUAUAUGCCAUGGUGAAUUUGCCAGGCACAGAGAGAGUCCCUUGGGGAAAAGAGCGAAGAAGCACACUAAGCUGUCUCCAGAAGCAAACUUUCAGAAAUGCUCUGCAAAGGUGCCUGAAACUUAAACUUUUUCCCUUGGUAAGGAUGAAAGGCAGGACUUUUGACCCCUACUUCUGACUAGAACGGAAACUUGGGCUUCUGUACUUCAUAGAAGUACAUUUUAUGAUAGAUGAGAGAAAAUGAAGAUCUUUGAGGGAAGGCUAAGAAAAUUCCUCUUCCUUCCAAAACUGCCUUGCAGGAUCAGUGGAAAAUUUCUGUUCAGAACAAGAUCCUUGGCAAGGAUACACCACCACCAGGUGAGAAGCAGAUGCCCUCAAGAUCAGGCAAAGCAUUUCAACAUUCUUCUUCCUGUUUGCUCCAGGUAUAUCUCAACAAAUAAAACUGAGAACCAUCUUGCCUAUCAUCCUGAGCUGCACAUGCUGGUGAUUUCCAAGCAAGAAGAUGCAUACAUAACAGGUCCUAUAAUUAUUUUUGGCCAACAUCCCAUUAGACAUCAGACUUCCUCCACAUUCCCCUGGAUCAGAUACCAGUAUGCUGCCUCUUGCAAUACCUGGAGUCUGCUGCCACAUCUCAGAGCUGCCAGGGUCUGAUCCGGACCUGCUGCUCUCUCCAGAUGAUCUGCUUGUCUCUUAUGUCCAACUUAUGACAGAGUAAGCUUGAAGGUACCUGCAGUUAGUGCAGUCACAGGGUGCUCUUGGUUGGUACUCAUCCAGUGCACUUACAAACAAGGCCUCAAGAUCCUAAAUCUGUGACUUAACUGAAAGCACCCUAAUGCUGGGAUGCUAAGGCUUUUGACAUAGUCUCCUACAACAUCCUUCUCUCCAAAUUGGAAAGAUGUGGGUUUGAUGGGUGGAAUGUUCAAUGGACAAGGAACUGGUUGUGAGAUCAUACCCAGAGGCUGGUGAUCAAUGGUUCAAUAUUGGAUGGGGAUCAGUGACAAGUAGUGUCUCCCAGAGGUCAGUACUGGGACUGGUGCUCUUUAACAUCUUCAUCAGUUACAGUGAUAGUGGCAUCGAGUGCACCUU